AUUGAACGCUGGCGGCAGGCCUAACACAUGCGAGUCGAGCGGAUGAAGGGAGCUUGCUCCUGGAUUCAGCGGCGGACGGGUGAGUAAUGCCUAGGAAUCUGCCUGGUAGUGGGGGAUAACGUCCGGAAACGGGCGCUAAUACCGCAUACGUCCUGAGGGAGAAAGUGGGGGAUCUUCGGACCUCACGCUAUCAGAUGAGCCUAGGUCGGAUUAGCUAGUUGGUGGGGUAAAGGCCUACCAAGGCGACGAUCCGUAACUGGUCUGAGAGGAUGAUCAGUCACACUGGAACUGGGACACGGUCCAGACUCCUACGGGAGGCAGCAGUGGGGAAUAUUGGACAAUGGGCGAAAGCCUGAUCCAGCCAUGCCGCGUGUGUGAAGAAGGUCUUCGGAUUGUAAAGCACUUUAAGUUGGGAGGAAGGGCAGUAAGUUAAUACCUUGCUGCUUUGACGUUACCAACAGAAUAAGCACCGGCUAACUUCGUG
rnacentral:rRNA from 1 species